AUUUCUUUUGAUUUUCCCAUGAUGUCAAGCAAAGAGGCACUGAGUUGAAAGAACUGGUCCAAAUAGGGAACUGGAAAGUGAGACCAUCAAUGCCUACAUGUUCCAUCUGGUGCGGAAUUUUUAAAGGCAGUCAACCGAGCAAGCUUUCUACAAUGACCUUUAAAAUUACUGGCAUUUGGGGAGCAAGAUAUCAAAACUUAAGAUUGAUCCAAUGAUGUACAAGUACAUUAUUGGCAUCAUCAAUGAACACAACCACUGGACUGUGAUGGACCUGAGCCCUAGGACCAUGCCCCAGGAUUACCUGACAUG